UCGGGACUGCUCCUGUCUACAAAUUUAGUUUGCUCACGAGCCGACCUGACAAACACGCAAACAUCCGUAUGUAAGAGGAGCAAUUUAGGGAAACUGGCCAGUCUCCUCCAGAACACCUUUUUUUGUUGCAGAGCACAACAACAACAACAAACUGACCCCUAUCACACCGAAUUCCAUUACUGCUGCCAGCAAGGCGGGAGGAGAGGUGUCAUGACUAAUAACUGGUACCGACUGUGUAACGGCAGGCCUGCAAUACUUUCUGUCUGCCAAAACCUGUCCAUGCGUAUUCAAGCACUGGUGAUUUACAAAGACAUGCAAACUACAUCAUAUAUCCCCUGAAAGCUCUAUCAUCGCAUGCUCUUAUGCUUUUUUCUUAAGACAUCAAACAUAGUUUACAGAGGCGAUGUUUGAUGUGGAGAGUAGUCUAUCUGUAAUCACUGUAGACUAAUUCACUGCAAAAAAAAUGGAGACACCAUUCAAGAGCGCUGAAACAAAAAUAAUGAUACCAACCUGAGCUAUAAUUAGACCACAGCUGACAUGAAUUUAGUGAGUUCAGUUAGGAUGCAUGAACUGGUAUAACUUCACUAAGAUAAUUUGAAAAACGGCAGAAAGUGCUUUUAUUUUAUUUUUAACAAUGUGGCUAUGGAGAGCAGUAUAGACAAAGGGGUCGACAAUAAAGUACUAGUGGUAUAACAUAGUACCAAUGCCUUCUACAAGGUAGUUUAUGUGCUUUUCUACUCAGUUUUUUGUCAAAAGAGAAUAAUAAUUAUUGAUAUACAAAUUAUAUUGUAUAGUUUAUACAGCAUGCUGCUCAAAAUCAAAUGUAGUAAAUUCAGACUCACUCACGACAAUUCUCUGUAAUUCAUAUGGAGUGAAGUUUUCAUUUGAUUUUGCAACUUUAACUAUUAAUUAUGUCUAAAUGUUCUAAUGCACCUUAAAGUAGUUUUUCUUUUUAAUGAGUGACUUCAUCCUGUAUUCUGUAAUUGUUCAAUAGAACUGUCAGCUCAUACAUCUAAUGGUAUUUCAAUUGAAUUAGGAUGCAUUAAAUUCAAUCUUAGGUAUUUUAAUACAGCUUAUAGUCUUUAUUUCUAAGCUGUACUCUGUUUAGUAUUAGAACAAGGUGCAAUAUGUGGUUAAUUCAAUGUGACUAAAGCAUCAUUUGAAUGACUCACUCACUUGCAUCAGUCACUUUAAAUUGUACUAUAUGCUGUUUCUCAGAAAGAGUGGUAUCCUAUUCAAGCCAGUUUUAUUUCUUAUUCUAAAAGUGGCUUGAAUAUAAAAUACAUGUGCUGCAGAUAGUUUUAAAACCAGGCUGAGCUUUACCUCUUUUAUGCUUUGACAUGCAACCUUUUCACCCGGCCCUUAGAGAGCUCAUUAUAACCAUUACUUUACCUUUUAUGGUCUCAGUCACUGUCACUAAAGAUCUGUGAGAGCUUUGUACUGUAAGCCUCAGCAUGUUGUGGUUCCCUUUACAGGAUCUCCUCCCUUGUCUGCUAAGCUGGCUGUGGCUACUAUUUCAGACAUCACUGAGGUCAAAUCCCAAGACGCUUUUUUGUCACGACCAUGUGCUGAUUCCCCACCUUCUCCUGUGGGGAUUUCCCAAUGGCUCCAGCAGAACUCUAAACCAGGAGUGACACAUCUCAGCUCACCAGUCUUGACGCACAAGAAGGCAAAACUGUCAGUACGAUUUUCUAAAAGUAUAGGUUUUUCUUUCUUUUCUUAUCUUUAAAAAAAAAAUGAAAAUCAUGUUCCAUUUUGUAUUAUGCUACAUAUAUAUAAUUUCAUAUUUAUUUUUAAUGUCAAGCCAACUACUUUUUGUUGUUGUUAUGUCCAUUUUAUCAUAGUUGGAAAACCUUUUUGGAGGCCAAGUUUGGAACACACAGGCUGAGUAGUUUGUUCAGUGCACAAGUUGAUGUGUUCAUUUUUGUCAUGGCCUAUUGGUGUUAAAUAAGCACAACUGUAAAAAUCACAACUCAAACCCCUGCUCUGCUGACCUUUAUGUCUUUGUGUUUCUUCUGUCACGUGUGUGAGGGUGUGAAAUUUGUGCGUGCUAACAGCAUGAAUUUAUGUGUUUGUUUCUGUGCACUCAUUUGCCUGCACACGGUUGUCCAAAUAUAUGCAAUAAGGUGUGUGUGUCUGUGUGUGUGUGUCUGUGUGUGUCUGUGUGUCUGUGUGGUGGGAUGAGGCAGUUUUAUUAUAUCAUCACAUCUGUUGAAAUGCAGUGAGAGCCUGUCAGCCAGACAGGAAAGAUUGUCGCUCCUGUAAGUCAUUAAUCACAUGCUUUGCAGCUUUGUUUGUCUCUUACCAAAGGAUCCAUACAUAUUGUGUUUAGAUUAAUUAAAAGGCUGAAAAACUUGAAAA